AACGAACGCUGGCGGCAUGCCUAACACAUGCAAGUCGAACGAGACCUUCGGGUCUAGUGGCGCACGGGUGCGUAACGCGUGGGAACCUGCCUUUAGGUUCGGAAUAACUCAGAGAAAUUUGAGCUAAUACCGGAUGAUGUCUUCGGACCAAAGAUUUAUUGCCUUUAGAUGGGCCCGCGUAAGAUUAGCUAGUUGGUGGGGUAAAGGCCUACCAAGGCGACGAUCUUUAGCUGGUCUGAGAGGAUGAUCAGCCACACUGGGACUGAGACACGGCCCAGACUCCUACGGGAGGCAGCAGUGGGGAAUAUUGGACAAUGGGCGGAAAGCCUGAUCCAGCAAUGCCGCGUGAGUGAUGAAGG
rnacentral:rRNA from 1 species